UACGGAGGGAGCUAGCGUUGUUCGGAAUCACUGGGCGUAAAGCGCACGUAGGCGGCUUUGCAAGUUAGAGGUGAAAGCCCGGGGCUCAACUCCGGAACUGCCUUUAAGACUGCAUCGCUUGAAUCCGGGAGAGGUGAGUGGAAUUCCGAGUGUAGAGGUGAAAUUCGUAGAUAUUCGGAAGAACACCAGUGGCGAAGGCGGCUCACUGGACCGGUAUUGACGCUGAGGUGCGGAAGCGUGGGGCGCUAACAGG
rnacentral:rRNA from 1 species